rnacentral:rRNA from 1 species
AACGCGAAGAACCUUACCAGGUCUUGACAUCCUCUGACACUCCUAGAGAUAGGACGUUCCCCUUCGGGGGACAGAGUGACAGGUGGUGCAUGGUUGUCGUCAGCUCGUGUCGUGAGAUGUUGGGUUAAGUCCCGCAACGAGCGCAACCCUUGAUCUUAGUUGCCAGCAUUCAGUUGGGCACUCUAAGGUGACUGCCGGUGACAAACCGGAGGAAGGUGGGGAUGACGUCAAAUCAUCAUGCCCCUUAUGACCUGGGCUACACACGUGCUACAAUGGAUGGUACAAAGGGCAGCGAAGCCGCGAGGUGGAGCCAAUCCCAUAAAACCAUUCUCAGUUCGGAUUGUAGGCUGCAACUCGCCUACAUGAAGCUGGAAUCGCUAGUAAUCGCGGAUCAGCAUGCCGCGGUGAAUACGUUCCCGGGCCUUGUA